GCCAGAGGGGGCAAGCGUUGCUCGGAAUCACUGGGCGUAAAGGGCGCGUAGGCGGGCUGGCAAGUCGGUCGUGAAAUCCUUCGGCUCAACCGAAGAACGUCGGCCGAUACUGCCGUUCUUGAGGGAUGCAGAGGAGAUUGGAAUUCCCGGUGUAGCGGUGAAAUGUGUAGAGAUCGGGAGGAACACCGGUGGCGAAGGCGGGUCUCUGGGCAUCUCCUGACGCUGAGGCGCGAAAGCGUGGGGAGCAAACGGG
rnacentral:rRNA from 1 species